GAUAAGUAUGUGADNUGCAGAAUUCAGUGAAUCAUCGAAUCUUUGAACGCACCUUGCGCCCUUUGGUAUUCCGAAGGCACACCUGUUUGAGUGUCGUGA
rnacentral:rRNA from 1 species